AACGAACGCUGGCGGCAUGCCUAACACAUGCAAGUCGAACGAGACCUUCGGGUCUAGUGGCGCACGGGUGCGUAACGCGUGGGAACCUGCCCUUAGGUUCGGAAUAACUCCCCGAAAGGGGUGCUAAUACCGGAUAAUUUCUUCGGACCAAAGAUUUAUCGCCUUUGGAUGGGCCCGCGUUGGAUUAGCUAGUUGGUAGGGUAAAAGCCUACCAAGGCGACGAUCCAUAGCUGGUCUGAGAGGAUGAUCAGCCACACUGGGACUGAGACACGGCCCAGACUCCUACGGGAGGCAGCAGUGGGGAAUAUUAGAAAAUGGGCGAAAGCCUGAUCCAGCAAUGCCGCGUGAGUGAUGAAGGCCUUAGGGUUGUAAAGCUCUUUUACCCGGGAUGAUAAUGACAGUACCGGGAGAAUAAGCUCCGGCUAACUCCGUG
rnacentral:rRNA from 1 species